rnacentral:rRNA from 1 species
AUGAACGCUAGCGACAGGCCUAACACAUGCAAGUCGAGGGGCAGCACAAGGAGCAAUCUGAGGUGGCGACCGGCGCACGGGUGAGUAACACGUAUGCAACCUGCCUGUAAGCGGGGAAUAACCCGUUGAAAGACGGAACUAAUACCGCAUAAUACUAAAUUACUGCAUGGUAAUUUAUUUAAACAUUUAUGGCUUACAGAUGGGCAUGCGCAUGAUUAGCUAGUUGGAGAGGUAACGGCUCCCCAAGGCAACGAUCAUUAGGGGUUCUGAGAGGAAGGUCCCCCACACUGGUACUGAGACACGGACCAGACUCCUACGGGAGGCAGCAGUGAGGAAUAUUGGUCAAUGGACGAGAGUCUGAACCAGCCAAGUCGCGUGCAGGAAGAAUGUCCCUAUGGAUUGUAAACUGCUUUUGCAGGGGAAUAAAGUGCAUCACGUGUGAUGUUUUGUAUGUACUCUGCGAAUAAGGAUCGGCUAACUCCGUGCCAGCCGCCGC